CAGGAUGGAUAAUUAUAUCUUCCCUAUCAUUUAAUAGGACCUGAUUCAUUUGAAAAUGCCUCCAGAAGCAGGAAUCCUAGAAGAUAGAUGAUCUUUUAGAGGACACAGAAGUUCAAAAUGUUGACAUGGUUUUUUCCAAGUCAUUGCAUUAGUGACAUUACUAGAAUUGGACACCUGGUCCCCUCAACUUCUGGUUCUGCAUUUUUAAACCAACGUGCAAGUUUAGUAGAAUCUAAAAAUGAUAUCAGUGUCUCAACUAGGGCUCAUUUGAAAGGUAUUAAUUUAAAAGUUAACUUUCUUUUGGAUAAGGAGGAGUGGAAAGUUGACAUUUGUUUUCUUUUGAAUGUGAAGGCAGUUUCAUAAUAUUAAGCUUUUGCUGUAUUUUUUGUCUGUGUAGUAUUUUGUUUGAAAUGAGGGUGUCUUGAGAUAUUGCACUAGAGCUCUUUCUCUUUUUCUCUCUCUGUCUUUCUCACUCCUUACAGCCCACCCCCACCUUCUCUCCCUCCUUCCCUUCCUUCUUUCCAUCCAUUCCUCCUUCCUACAAAUGCCUAGGAUAUGCUAUGAUGUAAAAGUAUUCAGUAAAUCAUUUUGGGCAUGGAGCCAUAGUUUUAGCUAGAGAUGCUUUUGCCCCCAGGGGACAUUUUGCAAUGUCUGGACUUACUUUUGGUUGUCACAAUUGGGGAGAAGGGAAUGCUAAUACCAGCUAGAGGGUAGAGACCAAGUAUGCUGCUAAACAUCCUACAGUGUUCACCACAGCCCUCCAUAGCAAAAAACUGUAUGACCACAAAUGUCAAUUGUGCUGAGACUCAGAAACCCUACUGCAGAGAAAGAGAAGAAAAACAACAUGAAAUCAAUGAUCGUUUCCAUAUUCCUGAUUAUGGAAUCCUGACAAAAAAUCCCCAGCAUCUGUCCAGUAUCUGUUUUGGGACAUGGUUCAAAUUAGAAGGGCCACAAUGUACCCUCUGCAAAGGAACAACUGCUGACAGUGUCAGAGAUGGCAGCAGUGCCACAACCGAGGGCCACUCAUUGCAUGAGGUGAUCUACACUUUCUGCAAUGAACAUAUGAUAUUGUAUAGCAAAAAUGAGCCUACACUUGUCGUGAAAAGUAAAAAAGAUAAACAACAGUCUUCUGGCUUUUGCUUGCUAAUAGUCAUGCUGCACUGCUUCUGCUUUCAGAAGCAUUGGCGAGUCCUGUCCUCCCACUACCCCCACCUCAUCUCCCAAUGUCCUGAGGUCUUGCCCAGCUGCCUGACCAUGGCAUGGCAGGAUCUGUCAAGGUGCAGACCCAGGCCAUUCUCCAUUCCCCUGGGGAAGAUUCCUCCUGAGCCUUUCCCAGGGCCUCAGUCACCAUCAGGGCUAUACAAGCCUGCAUCCUAG
rnacentral:lncRNA from 1 species